rnacentral:rRNA from 1 species
AUUGAACGCUGGCGGCAGGCCUAACACAUGCAAGUCGAGCGAGCGGCGGACGGGUGAGUAAUGUCUGGGAAACUGCAUGAUGGAGGGGGAUAACUACUGGAACCGGUAGCUAAUACCGCAUACCCUCAGAUGUGCCCAGAGGGGAUGAGCUAGUAGGUGGGGUAACGGCUCACCUAGGCGACGAUCCCUAGAUGGUCUGAGAGGAUGACCAGCCACACUGGAAAUGAGACACGGGCCAGACUCAGACGGGAGGCAGCAGUGGGGAAUAUUGCACAAUGGGCGCAAGCCUGAUGCAGCCAUGCCGCGUGUGUGAAGAUGGCCUUCGGGUUGGAAAGCACUUUCAGCGGGGAGGCGUUACCCGCAGAAGAAGCACCGGCUAACUCCGUGCCAGCCGCCGCGGUAAUAC